rnacentral:lncRNA from 1 species
GCCGUGACUGAAACUCUACUGAACUCGGAUUCUUCACUUCGAGCUCUUCAUCAUUCGGUUACUGCAACAAUUUUGAAGGUAAGUUCUCUCUCAUUCUCUGGAUUUCAUUUCUCAAUUCAGUCAAUAGCAUUCAUUCUCGGUCUUUCUCUGAAUUUCCAGAGACCUCUUCAUCGAAAUUUCUUCUCUAUUGCCCUCCGGACACUGUUAGCCACCACCAACCACCACCGGUCGUCACCGUUCCCAUUUCCACGGCCAACAGCAGAAGCUCUGUGCGCCCCUGUGCUCGGUCACCAUUGCUGAAGUGCUCAGACUGCGGUCACCACCGUCUCUCACGAUGGUUCCUGUUCAUGAAGCUGCUUCUAUAAUCACCUUAUUGAGGUCCGAUCAUUAAUCG